rnacentral:rRNA from 1 species
UACGGAGGGGGCAAGCGUUGUUCGGAAUUACUGGGCGUAAAGGGCGCGCAGGCGGCUGCUCAAGUCAGGCGUGAAAGGCCUGGGCUCAACCCGGGAAUUGCGCUUGAGACUGGGCUGGCUUGAGUGCGGGAGAGGAUGGUGGAAUUCCCGGUGUAGAGGUGAAAUUCGUAGAUAUUGGGAAGAACACCGGUGGCGAAGGCGGCCAUCUGGACCGCAACUGACGCUGAGGCGCGAAAGCGUGGGGAGCAAACAGG